GUGGCGUUGGGUGGCGGAGGCAUGGAGCCCCCGCCUCGAGCGGAGAUCAUGGUGCGGAAGGAUCCGAGCGGCCGGCCGUGGCGGGAACACAAGGAGCGGGAGCCCCUGACGUGGCCUCGCCAGACCCAGCAUGUUCUGUCACACUGGUGAUCGAAAUAGGAUGGCUGUGCUUGAUUGGAACCAAAGACUUCUGAGAAGCGGGGAGAUUGCUCUUUGUGGUAGAUUAAAGCAGACAUGCUUCAGAAAAGAGGGAGACCAAAUCCUUUUUUAUGAAAAAUAGGCACCGCAAAAUCUCCUCUUGGGUGCACAGCUUUGGAAAUACGCAAGGCUUUGUGUCGGCACAUUGUGCUACAGCAUGAAGUAUAAAAUUGACAAGAAUUUCUACAUUACAAAGGAUUCUUUUCAUCAUGAAGAAUGAUAAAAUAGGAAAUCCAAUUUUGAAUGUAUUAUUUUUAAUCUCAAAGGAUGCACAGACCAUAUAAUGUUGAUUUAUGAUGCGAAGUGAAUGGCAAAAGCAGGAGAAGUUGUAAACUACAGUUCUGUUAAUAUAUUUGUAUGUGUGGGGAAUAUUUAUGUGUGAGAGAGCAUGCAUUAUUCCAUGUGUGCAUAGAGAGAGCAAGCAAACAUAUACAUACAAUGAACAUUCCCUUCAUUUCAUUGCAUGUUGCUACAAUUUUUCUGAGGUCACCAAUUCUCCAGUGAGAUCCCUGGAGAGGAAAAAGCUUUUCUUUUUUAAAGGCCUUUUUGGGGAUGGUGUUGAAAGAAAACAAGUGUCUUAAAGCUUAACAAUGGCUUAACACACUCAUUUUUGUUCUUAUUUCCAUGGAAAAAUAAAACCCAACAUGCUAC